rnacentral:rRNA from 1 species
GAUGAACGCUAGCGGCAGGCCUAACACAUGCAAGUCGAGGGGUAGAGGAAGCUUGCUUCCUUGAGACCGGCGCACGGGUGCGUAACGCGUAUGCAAUCUACCUUAUACAGGGGAAUAGCCCAGAGAAAUUUGGAUUAAUGCCCCAUGGUAUUACGAAAUCGCAUGGUUUUGUAAUUAAAGUUCCAACGGUAUAAGAUGAGCAUGCGUCCCAUUAGUUAGUUGGUAAGGUAACGGCUUACCAAGACGAUGAUGGGUAGGGGUCCUGAGAGGGAGAUCCCCCACACUGGUACUGAGACACGGACCAGACUCCUACGGGAGGCUG